rnacentral:rRNA from 1 species
AGACCCGAAACCCGGUGAUCUAGCCAUGGGCAGGUUGAAGGUUGGGUAACACUAACUGGAGGACCGAACCGACUAAUGUUGAAAAAUUAGCGGAUGACCUGUGGCUGGGGGUGAAAGGCCAAUCAAACCGGGAGAUAGCUGGUUCUCCCCGAAAGCUAUUUAGGUAGCGCCUCGUGAAUUCAUCUCCGGGGGUAGAGCACUGUUUCGGCUAGGGGGCCAUCCCGGCUUACCAACCCGAUGCAAACUGCGAAUACCGGAGAAUGUUAUCACGGGAGACACACGGCGGGUGCUAACGUCCGUCGUGAAGAGGGAAACAACCCAGACCGCCAGCUAAGGUCCCAAAGUCAUGGUUAAGUGGGAAACGAUGUGGGAAGGCCCAGACAGCCAGGAUGUUGGCUUAGAAGCAGCCAUCAUUUAAAGAAAGCGUAAUAGCUCACUGGUCGAGUCGGCCUGCGCGGAAGAUGUAACGGGGCUAAACCAUGCACCGAAGCUGCGGCAGCGAACGUAUCACCCAAGACAACUUUACGGAGUUGACGAUUGACGGAGCGAAGCGACGUCAAAGCGUUCAUUAAAGUCGAGUUGGCUUAGGGAUACGUUCGUUGGGUAGGGGAGCGUUCUGUAAGCCUGUGAAGGUGUGUCGUGAGGCAUGCUGGAGGUAUCAGAAGUGCGAAUGCUGACAUAAGUAACGAUAAAGCGGGUGAAAAGCCCGCUCGCCGGAAGACCAAGGGUUCCUGUCCAACGUUAAUCGGGGCAGGGUGAGUCGACCCCUAAGGCGAGGCCGAAAGGCGUAGUCGAUGGGAAACGGGUUAAUAUUCCCGUACUUGGUGUUACUGCGAAGGGGGGACGGAGAAGGCUAUGUUGGCCGGGCGACGGUUGUCCCGGUUUAAGCGUGUAGGUGUGUGUUCCAGGUAAAUCCGGUUCACUUUAACACUGAGGCGUGACGACGAGGCACUACGGUGCUGAAGCAACAAAUGCCCUGCUUCCAGGAAAAGCCUCUAAGCAUCAGGUAACACGAAAUCGUACCCCAAACCGACACAGGUGGUCAGGUAGAGAAUACCAAGGCGCUUGAGAGAACUCGGGUGAAGGAACUAGGCAAAAUGGUGCCGUAACUUCGGGAGAAGGCACGCUGACACGUAGGUGAAGUGAUUUACUCAUGGAGCUGAAGUCAGUCGAAGAUACCAGCUGGCUGCAACUGUUUAUUAAAAACACAGCACUGUGCAAACACGAAAGUGGACGUAUACGGUGUGACGCCUGCCCGGUGCCGGAAGGUUAAUUGAUGGGGUCAGCGCAAGCGAAGCUCCUGAUCGAAGCCCCGGUAAACGGCGGCCGUAACUAUAACGGUCCUAAGGUAGCGAAAUUCCUUGUCGGGUAAGUUCCGACCUGCACGAAUGGCGUAAUGAUGGCCAGGCUGUCUCCACCCGAGACUCAGUGAAAUUGAACUCGCUGUGAAGAUGCAGUGUACCCGCGGCAAGACGGAAAGACCCCGUGAACCUUUACUAUAGCUUGACACUGAACAUUGAGCCUUGAUGUGUAGGAUAGGUGGGAGGCUUUGAAGUGUGGACGCCAGUCUGCAUGGAGCCGACCUUGAAAUACCACCCUUUAAUGUUUGAUGUUCUAACGUGGACCCGUAAUCCGGGUUGCGGACAGUGUCUGGUGGGUAGUUUGACUGGGGCGGUCUCCUCCUAAAGAGUAACGGAGGAGCACGAAGGUUGGCUAAUCCUGGUCGGACAUCAGGAGGUUAGUGCAAUGGCAUAAGCCAGCUUGACUGCGAGCGUGACGGCGCGAGCAGGUGCGAAAGCAGGUCAUAGUGAUCCGGUGGUUCUGAAUGGAAGGGCCAUCGCUCAACGGAUAAAAGGUACUCCGGGGAUAACAGGCUGAUACCGCCCAAGAGUUCAUAUCGACGGCGGUGUUUGGCACCUCGAUGUCGGCUCAUCACAUCCUGGGGCUGAAGUAGGUCCCAAGGGUAUGGCUGUUCGCCAUUUAAAGUGGUACGCGAGCUGGGUUUAGAACGUCGUGAGACAGUUCGGUCCCUAUCUGCCGUGGGCGCUGGAGAACUGAGGGGGGCUGCUCCUAGUACGAGAGGACCGGAGUGGACGCAUCACUGGUGUUCGGGUUGUCAUGCCAAUGGCACUGCCCGGUAGCUAAAUGCGGAAGAGAUAAGUGCUGAAAGCAUCUAAGCACGAAACUUGCCCCGAGAUGAGUUCUCCCUGAGACUUAGAGUCUCCUGAAGGAACGUUGAAGACGAC